CAGCCUCCCUUGCAGUGGAGAGCUGAGCCAGAGGGAACUGAGAGGGCCCUUUCAGCCUAAGUUAUUCUUGCUGCAGUCAUUCUGGCAUUUUGUCCUCUUACUAGAGACGUUGUCCAUAAAUACUAAAAGGCAUGAGUAGUCCAACCUGAAUAUCUGGUGUUCAGGAAGGCUGGCUUUUCAUUUGUACUAUUGUACUGUUUCAUUAUCCUGCAGGUACUUAUAUCUAAAACAUCCAUGCUGUGCUGAAAGUUGGACUUGCUGUGGAAGAUAAUGACUGCUAUUUCACUGGAUUAUUCUUAAUUUUGCUGUUAGUACAUUUCUGGCCCUGAAAUUGCUCAGCCUGUAAAUAUUUCCAUUUUCAGCAUAAGGUGAUUAUGUGAUGAUACUAGAGUGUGAGGUGGAAGUGAUUCCUCUACUCCAGAGGAAAAUGCAGCCUUGGGUCUGUGUCUCUUCUGCACGUUGCCUGGCUUGGAGAUUCCAUUCAAAUGGCAGAAUGGAUGUUUGGAAAACAUUAAAUGGUGGAUCUGGAGAGGAACUCAAUUUGUAUUUCAGGCAAGAACUCUCAGUGAGACACUAAAUACCUCUUUUCCCAUGCUACUGAAUCUAAACCAGGUAAACUAUUAAAGGCUCAUCUUUGUGCAUCUGUUUUAUUUUGUAAUCCUUUUUUGUUAUUUUUGCAGAUAAUUUGGUUAGUAAAGUUACCUCUUGGUUACUACAACAUCCCACGAUACUGAAUGUAACAUCAUUAUAGAUUCAACAAGCAAAAACAAAGGAACAACAAAAACUCAUCUCCACAGAAUGAAAUAUCUUCAGUAUCUUUUUUUAAACUCUGUAUUGGUGUGACUAAACUAAUUCAUAGUUCUAGUUUGUGUAUUACUUGACAUUUACUUGUCAUUUAUGCUGUUGCAUUAAGAAAACUGUUGAGUGUGAAAGAUGUGUGAGGCAAAACACUGGAAGAACACUCAGUAGAAAAGCUGAGUUAUUCCUGACACUUCUUUGAUGCGCGCUAUCUGAGGCCUGAGAAAAGCAAAUUAAGUCAGCUUAUACUUAAAGUAUAAGGGAUUUAGAUUUAUAUCUUCACUGAAGUUUAAUGGGGAAUAUGUUUAAAUCCCCUGACUUUUUUUCACCAUGGUCCCGUAAUCUGCUUUGAGAGAGACUGACACAAAAAUAACUUCAAAUACUAGACAAAUCAGAUGUUUUUCUAUUUGUUUUGUAAUGUCAAUAAAAUAAUAUUACUUGCAUUGAAUGCAGGUGCAAAUGAGACUUGAAAAUAUAGGACUUGUUGACAUACAGAAUAUUGAUUUGACUUCUCAAGGAAUUAAUUCCUUUUUGAAAAUUAGACUAAACUGAUUUACCUGUUUUCAUCAUUCAGUUACUAGGCAUCUUGGGGAUAGAUAUUAGAUCUUUUCAUGGUGCACUUCAGAGAUUGUAUAUUGCCAUGGCACAUUGUUAACUUCUAUGAUAUGAGCAAGAUUUGUGAGUCUUUAAUUGAAAAGCUACUUGAACCUCUUUCUUAGCAUCCUGUGGAUGAAGUGUCUGUCUCUAAAUACAUGAGACAGACACUUCAUCCACAUAAUAAUAAUAAUGAAUGUUAUUCAUUAAUUUUUGCAUGCUUUACUGUUCAGUGAUCGUUAUUAUAUUCUUUAAGUGGACUUCUUUUUUCACAAAAUAUGAUUAAUACCAAGUAAACCUAAGGGUAAAAUUAUUAUAGAUGCUUUAUGGUGCCAAGAGACUUGACAGUAAGAACUGUAACUUGAGUUUGGAUGGUAAGAAAAUUGUUUCAGACACCUAAGUACUUCUGAGUGAAACUCUGUAGCACUGAUAGGAGAUGCUGAACCCUGAACAAGGUACUUUUGUAAACAUCAGUGCUAGGUGUGUACCUGUAGAGCUGCAGAUGUCUCAGUAUAAAACUGUUUUCCAACUUAGCAGCCAUAGCUGGAAAACAUUCUUUGUUUAUGUGUCAGAUUUCUAGGCCUAUUCUAGCACUUUUAUUAAUCUUUUAAGUGGAAAAACUUAGGAGAGUGGCUGAGUUCCUAAGGGUGGCUAAUCAAUAAUCCAGUUAAGUUGUGAUGCUUUGCUUCAGUCUCAUGAUAGAGAACAUAAAUGAGUAAACAAAGAGUCAUGACUGGCUCCAAGGUAAUUGUAAUGUAAUAAAAAGAGACACGGAAGAUCGUUGAAGCUAUGCUUUAUGCUUGGUUUACAUACUAAUUUUCAGAAGUAACCUUGGGAAGCAGAUCCUUUUUUUUUAUCAGGGAAGACUUUUUGAUAGAGUUCAUCUUAUAUAUCUUCUAAUGUCUUCUGGUAAAAAGAAAUAAAUAAAAUAGUAUCAAUAUAAAGAAAUGUGUAUGUGAAUAUAUAAUAAUUAUCUAUAAUAUAUACACCUUGAAAGAGUAAAAACAAUGUUUUCCCCAAGCAAGUGACUAGAUAGAGGGAUCAAUGCUUCUCUUGCUUGAGUAACUUCCCUAGGUGGCUCAUCUGUCGAUGUGAUGUACCUUCACAGUGGGGCCUUGCUCUCAUAUGGAAGCUGACUGCUUGCCUUUUCAUUAAGUUUUUUUUUUUUUGUAUUUGGGUAUGGUGUUACAAGCAGUUAAUUGGGGAAAAAAUGUACUGAAAAGUUGGCUGUGGCCUAUCCAUACAUGCCUGUUUUUUUUUUUUUUUCUGUGGAUAAGACUUCUCUCUUUCUGGUUUUAUGAUUCAGCUGAAGAGCAUAUCAACCCAUAAGAGAAGAUCAAGGAGAUUUCAAUCAUAGUGGAGCCUACCAUACUGUCUUGGAAGUUAUUAACAUCUUGAAUUUCUUAACAUCCACGUGUCUUUCAAGCUUCAAUUUCAUUGUGGAGUAUGUGUGCAUGCGUAAUUAUGUAUUUUGUGUUUAUCAGCCCCAUCAAACUGUCAACAAUUUAAAAAUAAAAAUCUGGAACAUCAACUUAACUGAUUUACUUGGUUUUCUUAUCAUAGCUUGCUUCCUGUGCUCAAGUCUUGGCAUGUAUUAUUGCAUUUCAAAUUCCAUUGAGCUUGUGAUUGUAAGGGGCUAAGUUUUUAAACUCAAGAAGCAAUUUGAAAUCUUCCAGAUGCAAUUACAAUACCUCUCAGUGAUCUAGUAGUCUUGAUGAUUAAAAAUAUCAUUUGACAAGUAUUUUCAUAUUUUUGCUUACAAAAUCAUGCAGAAGCCCAAAGAGAUAGUAACACAAGUACCCUUUAAAAAUUCCGUAUGGAAAGAAAACUAUUUCACUUAAAAUGAAAUUUUGCCUCCCUUAACGAUAUGUUUUGCUCUGCAUGCAGCAGAAACAGUCAAUUUUUUUCUUUAAAAUAAGUUCUUUCCCUCACACCUCUGGUAUGGAAACAACUUGCUGAAACAAUAGAAUAUGAGGUAUAAGUAUAAAAGAUAGAGAGCUCUCUAUUUGCAUCCUAUCCAAAAGAAUUAACACAAUUUGUAUAUGGCUCUUGUGAACAAGAACUAAAGAAGUUGAAUGUCUCAAAUAGAGGUGUCAGAUAUUUGUUCUACUUGGAAUACAUCAAAAGGGGAAGAAAUCCAUGGAACAGAUCUGUAGUAAUCUUACAUGAAAUUGCAAUUCUAUACACAGAAAAAAAUUGUAAAUUCAUAACAAUUUGAAGGAAGAUUCAGUAUGCAUUCAUAUUAGUAUUCAGUACUCAUUAGUAUUCAUCUACAUUAAAAUUUAAUAGCCUUUGUAUUAAGCUCAAAGUUUUCUAUGUUUCAGAUUCAUCUGUCUUUCAAGUCUUUUGUAAAUAGGAAAUUAUGAUUCUCUGGCUCUCUAAAUUGAUUUCUCAUUUUUUUCCAAUUAAAUACUUCUGGGUAUGUAGUUUAGGAUACAAGAACUUGCUGUGCUUCAGCAACUCGAGUCUCUAGUGGUUCUGACUUUAAUAGAGAAGCUCUUUAAAAAGUGACAUAGUCAAUGUAAAAGCUAUGGUUGAAUUCACCGAAAAAUUAUUUUCCUUCUGUCCUUUACUCAUGUUGUUUGCUUUGGUAAAAACAUAACAAUGGGUGCUCUGCCAGGAACACAUGGAUCUUGGCAAAGCUCCAAUAUGUCUGUUUUUAUCUCUUGGAAAUGAAAAAUAACUGGCAACAAGAAUGUAAAAAGAUGGAUAACGUGAUGUGGUUCUCACAGGAGCUACUUGCUGAAAGGAGUUCAGAUGUCUCCUCAUAGAUGGCCACUAGUGACAGUUAUGGACAGCUUUACUUGUUUAGUCCUUUAUGAAAACUGACAGUGGGCAGGUGAUUUAACUGGUGUAGUUUUUCUUUGUAUUUCUAGUAUGAGUUCUCACAGCAAAGGUUUCAUUUCUUUCCUUUGUUUUUCCUUUUUUAAGUUCUUACUAACAGAAUCUGUGGAAUGCAUUUGGACUUUUUGUCUGCCUAAAUCCAAGGAUAAGAAGUCCGUAUGAUAAAAAAUAUGUGAUGAUUGCAAAGUUAUAUGGGAACAAGCCGGUAAAUGCUCACUUGAUAGAGACCUCUUAUUUCAUUUUAACCUAAUUUCAAACUAAAAGCUCUGACUCUCUAUGAGUUAUUGACUGUUUUCAUGUAGGUAUUUACAGAAAUAACAUUUUACUUCUGUGCUUUGGUUGUCUGACAGACCACUGUCUUCUCUAGAGAAACAAGUUGUAAUGGGUUCCUCAGUGACCUUAAAUCUGCAUGGUUCUUGAACUGCUAAUGGGAGCAGAAAAUGGUUUCCUACUAAUAAUUUCCUAAAGCUAAAAAGCUUUAUUUCUUUUUAAGCACCUUGGUUAGAGGAAGAUUUUCUUGCACAUAGGUGUAACUUUAAGAAGAAUCUUGUGGUUACACAAAGAUAGGUGUGUAUUGAAGAUUUGAGAAUGCUGGUGUUUGUAGAAAUACUUCUGGAGUUAAGGUUGUUUCUAAUGCUGUUCUUAUUUCUAUAGAUAAUAAAUAGUACUGUCCUACAGGGGUUUCAGGUCCACAUGUCUUUUAUGCAGAUGGUGAGAAGAAGCAAAUGUGCUUUCAGCUCAGAUCUACCAGUUAGCCAGUUCUCAACCUACCUCACCAUCCACUCACCUAUUCUGCACUUCCUCAGCCCUGUUAUAAGGAUGUUGUGGGAGACAGUGGCAAAUGCCUUGCUGAAACUAAGGUAGACAAGGUAGACAACAUCCACUGCUCUCCUCCCAUCCACCUAGCUAGUGAUGGCAUCAUAGAAGGCUACCAGGUUGGUUGAGCAUGACCUCCAACUGGUGAAUCCAUGCUGACUACUCCUGAUAGCCUUCUUCACUGCUCUCCUCCCAUCCACCUAGCUAGUGAUGGCAUCAUAGAAGGCUACCAGGUUGGUUGAGCAUGACCUCCAACUGGUGAAUCCAUGCUGACUACUC
rnacentral:lncRNA from 7 species